AGUUGAAUCAGCCCGGUAGAUUGUUGGGCUUGUGGCUAUUGUUGCCAAGUCAAGUGUGGGUGUGGGUGUGGGUGUGGGGUGCGCGAAAUGAAUCAGAAAUUCGGAGGACGGAGGCAGCCGAGUGGCACUCCGUCGCUGGCGUGGUCGUGCGUGGUUGUCGUUGUUUCUCUUCUUUCUGGCGCUUCCAUUGUUCACAACAUCUUCAAGCCUGAUUUGACAUUGCCACCAGUUGACAGUGUUCAUGGGGCCAAGGACGGAGAACCUGACAAAGGAUGAACAUACACAGUACCUUCGACAAACUGGUUGAUUUUUGUUAACAUUCAAUGCUUUGAACUUCAAAUCCAUGAUAUUGUUUUCUAGGUGGAAUUGAUAGAGGUACAUUUUGCCAUUAAUAUGUUUAUUGGGAUUGUUGUCGCACUGUGUGUUCUGUCGUAUAAGCUUGUUAUCUGUGUUACUGAUUAAGGACUGACUAGCUCUGCUGUCAAGUUGCCUUCCAUUGAGCUGCUGAAGUUACGUGCAA